rnacentral:misc_RNA from 1 species
GAUGAAUAACGCAGCGAAAUGCGAUAAGUAAUGUGAAUUGCAGAAUUCAGUGAAUCAUCGAGUCUUUGAACGCACAUUGCGCCCCUCGGUAUUCCGUGGGGCAUGCCUGUUCGAGCGUCAUUUAACCCCUCAAGCCUAGCUUGGUAUUGGGUGCUUGUCCCGCCUCUCGCGCGGCGACUCACCUCAAAGUCAUUGGCAGCCCGCAUCUCGCCGGCCGUGAGCGCAGCACAGACGCGCUCUUGGCAACGACGGAUCGGCUCUCCAAAAGCUUAUUUCAACCACUGACCUCGGAUCAGGUAGGGAUACCCGCUGAACUUAAGCAUAUCAAUAAGCGGAGGA